ACAAGGUAAAUUCUGCAUGGUUACAGGGUUUAAACAACUCAAAGGGUGAAGUUUAGGUAUUCAUCCAGAGUGGUUAAAGUUAGGGCUAUGGUUUGGGGAAGACAAGGUAUUCAUCCAGAGUGGUUAAAGUUAGGGCUAUGGUUUGGGGAAGACAAGGUAUUCAUCCAGAGUGGUUAAAGUUAGGGCUAUGGUUUGGGGAAGACAAGGUAUUCAUCCAGAGUGGUUAAAGUUAGGGCUAUGGUUUGGGGAAGACAAGGUAUUCAUCCAGAGUGGUUAAAGUUAGGGCUAUGGUUUGGGGAAGACAAGGUAUUCAUCCAGAGUGGUUAAAGUUAGGGCUAUGGUUUGGGGAAGACAAGGUAUUCAUCCAGAGUGGUUAAAGUUAGGGCUAUGGUUUGGGGAAGACAAGGUAUUCAUCCAGAGUGGUUAAAGUUAGGGCUGUGGUUUGGGGAAGACAAGGUAUUCAUCCAGAGUGGUUAAAGUUAGGGCUGUGGUUUGGGGAAGACAAGGUAUUCAUCCAGAGUGGUUAAAGUUAGGGCUGUGGUUUGGGGAAGACAAGGUAUUCAUCCAGAGUGGUUAAAGUUAGGGCUAUGGUUUGGGGAAGACAAGGUAUUCAUCCAGAGUGGUUAGAGUUAGGGCUAUGGUUUGGGGAAGACAAGGUAUUCAUCCAGAGUGGUUAAAGUUAGGGCUGUGGUUUGGGGAAGACAAGGUAUUCAUCCAGAGUGGUUAAAGUUAGGGCUAUGGUUUGGGGAAGACAAGGUAUUCAUCCAGAGUGGUUAAAGUUAGGGCUGUGGUUUGGGGAAGACAAGGUAUUCAUCCAGAGUGGUUAAAGUUAGGGCUAUGGUUUGGGGAAGACAAGGUAUUCAUCCAGAGUGGUUAAAGUUAGGGCUGUGGUUU